UCAGUUUGGCACUGCAUGCACUAACAUUGCAGUAAUACAGGGAAGAUUAGCGUGUCCCCUGCACAAGGAUUACACGCAAAAUCACGAAGCGUUUCGUAAUUUU
rnacentral:snRNA from 1 species